GGACGAAUAGCUCAGUUGGUUAGAGCAUCUCGUUUACACCGAGGAGGUCGGGGGUUCGAGCCCCUCUUCGUCCACCA
rnacentral:tRNA from 1 species